rnacentral:rRNA from 1 species
CCUACGGGUGGCAGCAGUGGGGAAUAUUGGACAAUGGGGGGAACCCUGAUCCAGCGACGCCGCGUGAGUGAAGAAGUAUUUCGGUAUGUAAAGCUCUAUCAGCAGGGAAGAAAGAAAUGACGGUACCUGACUAAGAAGCACCGGCUAACUACGUGCCAGCAGCCGCGGUAAUACGUAGGGGGCAAGCGUUAGCCGGAUUUACUGGGUGUAAAGGGAGCGUCGACGGCGAUGCAAGUCUGAAGUGAAAGGCGGGGGCCCAACCCCCGGACUGCUUUGGAAACUGUAUGGCUGGAGUGCAGGGGAGGUAAGUGGAAUUCUUAGUGUAGCGGUGAAAUGCGUAGAUAUUAGGAGGAACACCAGUGGCGAAGGCGGCUUACUGGACUGUAACUGACGUUGAGGCUCGAAAGCGUGGGGAGCAAACAGGAUUAGAUACCCUUGUAGUC